GAUGAACGCUGGCGGCGUGCCCAAUACAUGCAAGUCGAGCGAACAGACGAGGAGCUUGCUCCUCUGACGUUAGCGGCGGACGGGUGAGUAACACGUGGAUAACCUACCUAUAAGACUGGGAUAACUUCGGGAAACCGGAGCUAAUACCGGAUAAUAUAUUGAACCGCAUGGUUCAAUAGUGAAAGACGGUUUUGCUGUCACUUAUAGAUGGAUCCGCGCCGCAUUAGCUAGUUGGUAAGGUAACGGCUUACCAAGGCAACGAUGCGUAGCCGACCUGAGAGGGUGGACGGCCACACUGGAACUGAGACACGGUCCAGACUCCUACGGGAGGCAGCAGUAGGGAAUCUUCCGCAAUGGGCGAAAGCCUGACGGAGCAACGCCGCGUGAGUGAUGAAGGUCUUCGGAUCGUAAAACUCUGUUAUUAGGGAAGAACAAAUGUGUAAGUAACUAUGCACGGCUUGACGGUACCUAAUCAGAAAGCCACGGCUAACUACGUG
rnacentral:rRNA from 1 species